rnacentral:rRNA from 1 species
AUAUCAAUAAGCGGAGGAAAAGAAACCAACAGGGAUUGCCUCAGUAACGGCGAGUGAAGCGGCAACAGCUCAAAUUUGAAAUCUGGCCUUUUGGUCCGAGUUGUAAUUUGUAGAGGAUGUUUCGAGCGUGGUCCGGUCUAAGUUCCUUGGAACAGGACGUCAUAGAGGGUGAGAAUCCCGUAUGCGACUGGGUGCCUAAGUUCAUGUGAAACUCCUUCGACGAGUCGAGUUGUUUGGGAAUGCAGCUCAAAAUGGGUGGUAAAUUUCAUCUAAAGCUAAAUAUUGGCCAGAGACCGAUAGCGCACAAGUAGAGUGAUCGAAAGAUGAAAAGCACUUUGGAAAGAGAGUUAAACAGUAC